AGACCAGAAUUCUUAUCCCAGACUCAUCUCUAGCCUGACUCCAUUACAAGCCAUAUGACCUUGAGGAAGUCAUUGAACCUCUUUGAACUUUUGCCUCCUCCUCGCUAGGGAAGGGAUCACUUCAGCUCCUUCCUUGGGAGACUGCUUCGAUCCGUGAAUGUGGGUGACAAACCAGAGGAGAUGAGCUGAUCCUGAGCAGAUGUUUGGAACAACAUCAUGAGGAUGAGGGGAACAUUGCAGAAACUGCCAAGAAGGUCUGCCUCCUCUGGAUCUGCAGCACCGACUUGCUAGGAGCCGUGAAGAAAGCCUUGUUUCAAAACACGUUUGUGAAACUGGACUGAGGGGAAGACGUGGAUGUCUUCCUGCAUAUGGUCAGAUAAGUUUGAAGGCCACUAGCCUAGAGCACAAGAAGACAUCCA